GAUUCGCGCUAUUUUUCCGUCGAUUCCAAAGCUUAGCGGCGGCGGUUUGUUCGCGCAUUCGUGCACGAGUGGCGAACUUCGGAUCUUGUUGGCACGAACGACAGUAACAACACCGCUUUAUUUCGAGAAGCUGUUAAGAGGAGUGCCAUGGCGGUUUUUGUGCAGCGUUGGCAUCGGCAGCCAGUGGAAUAUGAUGGCGUGGUUGGCAUUGAAUGUCAACCAGAGAACAGCCAGAAAAACGGAGAACACCCUUGUUGUCCAUUUGAUGUUAUCCAUGUGCCUCAGUUACUUAUCGAAAGCUAUACAGGCAGGGCAGUGCACGAGCGGACCACAAACUGCCCGUGCUGUCUGGUUGUGCCAGUCCCGUUCACCUGGCUCUACCCAGAAACACUGCAUUCUUGUCUCGGCUGGUCUGGUAGCACCGGCUCAGUCCGCUGGCUCACCCCAGGAACACCACAGUCUCGUUCCAGCUAAUCUGAUGGCAACGGUCCUGUCCGUCUGGUUUCCCAGGUUGGCCACUGUGGUAGGGCAGAGUACAAGCAGACUGCCUGUGCAUCAGUAGGAACAGCCCACACGCUGUCAGCAGGUGGAGCAGCACCUUGGCCAUGCCCUUAGCAGCCUAGUUGUGCCAGACCCGUUCACCUGGCUCGCCCCGGGAACACCGCAAGCUCAUCCCGGCUGGUCUGAUAGCAUCGGCCAUCUAUGCGCCCUGGCUAGCCUGGCAGCACUAGCUCAGACAGUCUUGCGUCAGGAAGAUCACAAGCUUCCACAUCUGGCUGCCACAUUCCAGCUUCCUCGUUCUUUAACCAUGCGCACAUAUUUAUUGGCUUUCUGUUUGCUGUUUUAGUAUUGCCUUUUUACUACAAUUACAGACAUUUUAGUAAGGUUCCUGUAUGACCUAAUGCUUAUCUUUUUUGCUCUUGUAUAUAAAGUUCAUUCUGCUACGUCAUCUACCUUAAAUCUGUUCAGUGAUUAUGCUGUUGUCUAAUGUAUGGGCAAAACUUGCUUUUGUCACCCUGCUUCUUUCUAUUCUAAUAGGAAUUUCAUCUUAUCCACUUGCUGCAUGCUUAGGGACCUUCUUUUUUUAUUUUUUCAGUAUAAAUCCAUCAUCCUCUCUGAAUGCUUUUCUUGCAUUAUGUCUACAGGCUUCGAAUCUUGUCUAUCUAUACCAAUGACUUCUUCGUAGCUGCUUCAAUGUGUGUCAUUGCUUUGACCCCAGUCGGCUUACUUUUUUUAUUACAUCCGUCACCCAUCAUUCACUAGCAGUAAUUUUUUUGCCUGGAGAAGAAUCUGCUCCUCCAAUUUCUUUGCUGAUAUAUCUCUUACUUUUAACCUAUUUGUUCCUGCAGCAGUCGAGCCUGUUUUGUGUUUCUCUGCUUUUUCGAUUCAUUGCAUCUAGCUUUAAGUGCCUACUUAAUUUAUUUAUUCCGCCAGCUUUGUGCACAGGCUUUCUCUUCCCUUUACAGUGGAUGUUGUUUUUCUCUUUGUAUUAUACCUUCCUUACUACCAUAAUACCAUUGCUUGUUUGGAAGUCUUCUGAUAUAAUUUUCAGUGUUUGUCACUAAUUUUUUACCUGUUAGUCACUGAAAUUUACCCUCUGAAGUAAUUAUUUUGCUGCUCAUCCGCUGUUACAAUUUCUCACGUUAUAGUGCAGCACGGCUAUAGUCCCUUCUCAAGCUGUUAGGGCCAUACUCAUCUAUUUUCAUUAUGCUCACUUGAUUGUACAAAUAUGCCUUUCAACAGCAAAUUAUAGAAUCAAUGUUUGACUGCUUCAGUCAACAUUCCUACACAUUAGACUCUCUAAUACAAUGGCUAGAUUGUGCCGCUCCGAAAUCCAUAAAGUUUUGCCACUGUAGUUGGUGCAUAUUCAUCCAGAUUUUCAGUGUGGUCACUCAUGUCUCCUUGCAAUUAAGGGGAGAUGUACCUUAGAGAACCCAUUUCGUUAAUAAUAAAGCUUAUUGGAUGGAAUUGAUGCAGAAUAUAGAGUUUUUGGAUAUGAUUAUAUUUACUCAAUAUUCACAUUAUUUUUCUGUAGCACCUGGAAGUGGCAAAAGUAGUGCCUUUUGUCUAAGGUUUUGGGCUUCGUACCAAGCCUAGGAAAAUGUUAUAACCUAUAUGGUUUUAUAUAAACAAAUACAGUCAAAUACACUUAUAACGAUACCAGUUUUAACAAUAUAUUGGUUAUAACAAUGAGAAGCUGCUGCACCGUCAACUUUUGUAUGUUUUGCAUGGGGAAUAACCCGUUUACUACAAUGCCCUGAUGCCGCAUUAUCAGUUAUAACGAAGUCUGGCUGCUCGGUGUCCGAGCCGAAAGGUAGUGAAAUGCGAAAUCCUUGAAAAGAGAAAAUGAAAAUGAGAAAUUCGAGCCGCUGCACGAUGGCCCAGUGCUCGAACGGCCGCCACGCGCUCAUUUUCCAGCCUUCUCUGCGCGCCUCUCUCCCGUUGCCCUUCCACCCCUCCGAACACGAAUGGGCUGCGCCCAUAUCUCUACGCCACGCCAAUCUCCGAGACACGAAUGGACCGCGCCAACUGCGCUGCUCGCAUCUUGCUCGCUGGCUCCUCAUUCAGCGCAGUUCUGCAAACAGCUCCGUGUUCGUCUUUUGUGUCGAAAUCGUUCCUGGCCACAUGGUUUCUCAGCCUCUUUUGACUCGCUGCCAAAACGGAAGAUGACUGACCCGCCCGCUGAUAAUCGGCAAUGCACGAGGUUGCCGGUGAAAAGAAAGCGCACUGCUAUAGAUUUGGAAAAUAAAUACUUCUAGCCGAUGAGGCGAAGGUCGCAAACGUGCUUGCAUCGAAUAGCAGCUGCGACGACGGCAGCGAUGACGCAGUAGGGCAGGCUGCCUCAAUGUUGUCCUCACAGGAGGCCCGGCAAAUGAUUCAGUCCCUCCGGGACUUCAUUUUUGCAAGGAACCUUCCGCUGCACUACGUGGAGCACCUGGAUACCUUGGAGAAGGAUGUCAGCAAGGCUCACAGACAUAGGGCUUUCUCGUACAAUGCAGUGCGUCGUACAUACAUAGCGAGGUGCUUGUGGCGGUCUCGCCUCAGCGUUUCUUCUAGAUUUCGAAAGCUGACAGGCUGCCGUGGCAACCUCCUCGCAUUUUUAAAAAGCCCCUUUUGGGCCCUCCAAAGCGCUGCCUCGGCGGUGCUCGCAUAUCGCUUACCACCUGUGAGCCCUCUUUGCAGUUAUAGCAGUGCCAUUCCUUAACACUGACAGCCGCGGCUUGUCACACGUGAUCGGAGUGCCCAGGAAGCAGUUAAACAAGUGAGCACAAUCAGCAGCCGGAUGGAGGAAGGUGGUGGGGAUAUAGUGGGGAGGGUCACUGGCCUCCCCGCCAUUAUAAUUUGCUAAGAUCAGCUCUGCGAUCCCCCUAUUUUGAUUUUUUCAUGCAACCCGGUUUUAACAAUUAUCAGUUAUAACAAUGAAAUUUUCGUGGCAUUUGAAUAUUGUUAUAAGUGGGUUCGACUGUAGUUGCAAGUAAGCUCAAAAAGUAUUUUCUUUAGCCUGAUUAUUUAAAUAAAACAUUUUUAAUCUGGACUAUAGCUAUCAAGAACAUUGAUGAUUAGUUUCGUUAAAUGCACAUGACCAAGAUUGCUGCAAAUUACAAUAGGACCUGGAUACUUUCAGUCUACAUACUCUUGUGCAAAAUUUGGCUGAGAUUGAGUUAAAUGAAAUGCAAGAAUUUUGUGUGCAAGCAGUGGAAACAGCACAAGAUUGAAAAAAGAGAAAAAUGAAGUUGGAAGUUUCUAAACAUGCUUAUUACUUUUCCAGAUGAUCGAUUUGCUUGAAAUUUGGCCAUCAUACAGACCAGUCUUUCCUGAAGAAAUUUAAAACUUCAUAAUUCUCCUGCUCCAUAGGUGGUGCCCUCAGAAUUCUUGUGAACUUCCUCCUGCUGCCAUUGUAACACAUCUAACAUCAGGCAGUUUUGUUUGCUCACUGUUCAUACUAUUCACUUGCCUCCUUUAUUUUCAGAAAGAUAGUUUUGCAGGUUACUAACCCUACUAUACUUAAUCUAGGCAGUAUGGCUGACCGCCUAAUUCACGGUCCCAACAUUUUAGUCAUAGACACUGUAUAGAUGAUUAAUUUUAAUACAUCUAGAUUUACCAGCUAAAAUAAUAUUCCAAUGAUUUGUACAAAGUGUGGUAAGCAGAAUAAACAAUGCUAUUUUCAGCCAUAAAAUUUUAAUGACUCACCAUUUCACAUCAAAACUUCUAAUCCACAUGCCUAACAAGUUUAAAACGAUUCCUAAAAAACAUAUCUCGUAAUUUGUCUUAAAUUUUGUAUUGUGGUCCAUUUCUAUAUUUCACUGUUCCUGAUACUUUUCUCAAUUAGCUUUCUUGUGCUCCUAACUGUAAUUAUGUAAAUUACCACUUUGUUAAGCUGUUAUUUAUGUUUUAAGAGCCAUUACAACAAGAGGUGCAGUGCUUCAUUGUGGGAACUCUCUAUAUGUUUGUUGCCAUCUGCUGUAUCAUAUUUGAAUUCAAUAAAUCAAUCUAUUGGCAUUGGA